UUUGCCAAGAAUGUUCCCGUUAAUCAAGAACGAAAGUUAGAGGUUCGAAGGCGAUCAGAUACCGCCCUAGUUCUAACCAUAAACGAUGCCAGCCAGCGAUCCGCCGAAGUUCCUCCGAUGACUCGGCGGGCAGCUUCCGGGAAACCAAAGCUUUUGGGUUCCGGGGGAAGUAUGGUUGCAAAGCUGAAACUUAAAGGAAUUGACGGAAGGGCACCACCAGGAGUGGAGCCUGCGGCUUAAUUUGACUCAACACGGGAAACCUCACCAGGCCCGGACACCGGAAGGAUUGACAGAUUGAGAGCUCUUUCUUGAUUCGGUGGGUGGUGGUGCAUGGCCGUUCUUAGUUGGUGGAGCGAUUUGUCUGGUUAAUUCCGGUAACGAACGAGACUCUAGCCUGCUAAAUAGACGAUUUCCGGUAUCCACAAUAGUGCUACCGGCGAAAUCAAUAUCUUCUUAGAGGGACAGGCGGCUUUCAGCCGCACGAAACUGAGCAAUAACAGGUCUGUGAUGCCCUUAGAUGUCCUGGGCCGCACGCGCGCUACACUGAAGGAAUCAGCGUGUCUACCCUGGCCGAAAGGCUCGGGCAACCCGUUGAACCUCCUUCGUGCUAGGGAUUGGGGCUUGCAAUUGUUCCCCAUGAACGAGGAAUUCCCAGUAAGCGCGAGUCAUAAGCUCGCGUUGAUUACGUCCCUGCCCUUUGUACACACCGCCCGUCGCUACUACCGAUUGAAUGAUUUAGUGAGGUCUUCGGACUGGUGCGCGGCGACCGCCUGCGCGGCCGCCGAUGCCACCGGGAAGAUGACCGAA
rnacentral:rRNA from 1 species